rnacentral:rRNA from 1 species
UACGGGGGGGGCAAGCGUUGUUCGGAAUUACUGGGCGUAAAGGGCUCGUAGGCGGCCAACUAAGUCAGACGUGAAAUCCCUCGGCUUAACCGGGGAACUGCGUCUGAUACUGGAUGGCUUGAGUUUGGGAGAGGGAUGCGGAAUUCCAGGUGUAGCGGUGAAAUGCGUAGAUAUCUGGAGGAACACCGGUGGCGAAGGCGGGUCUCUGGGCCGUAACUGACGCUGAGGAGCGAAAGCGUGGGGAGCGAACAGG